rnacentral:rRNA from 1 species
CGAACGCUGGCGGCGUGCUUAACACAUGCAAGUCGAACGGAAAGGCCCUGCUUUUGUGGGGUGCUCGAGUGGCGAACGGGUGAGUAACACGUGAGUAACCUGCCCUUGACUUUGGGAUAAUUUCAGGAAACUGGGGCUAAUACCGGAUAGGAGCUCCUGCUGCAUGGUGGGGGUUGGAAAGUUUCGGCGGUUGGGGAUGGACUCGCGGCUUAUCAGCUUGUUGGUGGGGUAGUGGCUUACCAAGGCUUUGACGGGUAGCCGGCCUGAGAGGGUGACCGGCCACAUUGGGACUGAGAUACGGCCCAGACUCCUACGGGAGGCAGCAGUGGGGAAUAUUGCACAAUGGGCGGAAGCCUGAUGCAGCAACGCCGCGUGCGGGAUGACGGCCUUCGGGUUGUAAACCGCUUUCGCCUGUGACGAAGCGUGAGUGACGGUAAUGGGUAAAGAAGCACCGGCUAACUACGUG